GGACAACAGUUGGAAACGACUGCUAAUACCGCAUAAGCUCACGACCCGGCAUCGUGUAGAGGGAAAAGGAGCAAUCCGCUUUGAGAUGGCCUCGCGUCCGAUUAGCUAGUUGGUGAGGUAACGGCCCACCAAGGCGACGAUCGGUAGCCGGACUGAGAGGUUGAACGGCCACAUUGGGACUGAGACACGGCCCAGACUCCUACGGGAGGCAGCAGUGGGGAAUAUUGCACAAUGGGGGAAACCCUGAUGCAGCGACGCCGCGUGGAGGAAGAAGGUCUUCGGAUUGUAAACUCCUGUUGUUGAGGAAGAUAAUGACGGUACUCAACAAGGAAGUGACGGCUAACUACGUGCCAGCAGCCGCGGUAAAACGUAGGUCACAAGCGUUGUCCGGAAUUACUGGGUGUAAAGGGAGCGCAGGCGGGAAGACAAGUUGGAAGUGAAAUCCAUGGGCUCAACCCAUGAACUGCUUUCAAAACUGUUUUUCUUGAGUAGUGCAGAGGUAGGCGGAAUUCCCGGUGUAGCGGUGGAAUGCGUAGAUAUCGGGAGGAACACCAGUGGCGAAGGCGGCCUACUGGGCACCAACUGACGCUGAGGCUCGAAAGUGUGGGUAGCAAACAGGAUUAGAUACCCUGGUAGUCCACACCGUAAACGAUGAUUACUAGGUGUUGGAGGAUUGACCCCUUCAGUGCCGCAG
rnacentral:rRNA from 1 species